UGGGGAAUCUUCCGCAAUGGACGAAAGUCUGACGGAGCAACGCCGCGUGUAUGAUGAAGGUCUUCGGAUUGUAAAGUACUGUCAUUGGGGAAGAACGGUUUUCUUGAAAAGAUUGAGAAGACAUGACGGUACCCAAGGAGGAAGCCCCAGCUAACUACGUGCCAGCAGCCGCGGUAAUACGUAGGGGGCAAGCGUUGUCCGGAAUUAUUGGGCGUAAAGGGCGCGUAGGCGGGCCUUUAAGUCCGGUGUGAAAGAUCAGGGCUCAACCCUGAGAGUGCAUCGGAAACUGGAGGCCUUGAGGACAGGAGAGGAAAGUGGAAUUCCACGUGUAGCGGUGAAAUGCGUAGAUAUGUGGAGGAACACCAGUGGCGAAGGCGACUUUCUGGACUGUAACUGACGCUGAGGCGCGAAAGCGUGGGGAGCAAACAGGAUUAGAUACCCUGGUAGUCCACGCCGUAAACGAUGAGUGCUAGGUGUGAGGGUAUCGACCCCUUCUGUGCCGGCAGUUUAAACACAAAUCAAAGNACUCCCCGGCCCUGGGGGAGUUACGGCCGCAAGGUUGAAACUCAAAUGAAUUGACGGGGGUCAUA
rnacentral:rRNA from 1 species